CACAGGCUGUUCCCUUCAGACCCUGCUGCUGAGCUAGGGAAGACCCUGGGCCAGGAGAAACCUGACCUGGAGGAAGGACUGGGGCUACCAGGACUGCCAGCUGCCGAGUACCUGGAGGAGCCAGGCAGUAACCCAGGCCAGUGUGAGCCUGACACGGAGGGGGAGCUGGAGCUGCCAGCAGCUGAAUACCCUGACGAGCUGGAGGGACCAGAGGGACCCGCUCAAGAGACCGGGUACCAUUGCGGAGAGUGGACCAGAGCUUCGCGAACCAGCUGAGCGGCGGCUGAGCAGCGGGGAACAGCAGAGCAGCACACAGCAGGAGUUUGCCUGGGAUUGGACAGAAGCAACUUUGUCUGUACAAAGUGCAAGCUGGUCUCCAUAUUGGAAGAGAAGAUUGAAGGUCUGGAGCAACAGAUAACGACCCUGCAUUGCAUACGAGAAACGGAGGAUUUUCUGGACAAAAGUCAGGAUAUACUUCUACAGGCACAAAGCUCUAAAGAUUUAGAGCAGGUUGCACAGCGGAGCCAAGAGGCCAGUGAAGAAGCUUGGCAACAUGUGACCUCCAGAAGAAGAAGGGGGAAUGUCCGGGUUCCAGCAACGCGGACAGGUAACUAACCGCUUUCAUCUUCUCUCCACAGGUACCAUUGCGGAGAGUGGACCAGAUGAGCGGUGAAGCUAUUACCAGCAGGAGAGUGGGGUGGGGGGAGAGAAAACCUUUUGUAGUGGUAAACACCCAUUUUUUCAUGAUUUGUGUGUAUAAAAACAAACAUCUUCUGUAUUUUCCACAGUAUGCAUCCGAUGAAGUGAGCUGUAGCUCACGAAAGCUUAUGCUCAAAUAAAUUGGUUAGUCUUUAAGGUGCCACAAAUACUCCUUUUCUUUUUGCGAAUACAGACUAACACGGCUGUUACUCUGAAACCUUUCAAAUAGCGAAUUACUUUUAGACUUCAGCCUUGUGCAUAUUACCCCACAACUGCUGUACUGAACUAAAAUAUCAUUCCUUUGUUGAAGAAAUGCAUAGUUUAAGUUUCGACAAGAAGAUCAGAGUGGACAUUUCCCAGUGGCUGGAGAGGAUACCACCAAGAGAGAUGCUAUUAUACAACAUGUUGAAUUCUCUUGCUGUCCCCAGUAUCAUCCAGCUCUUCUAAUGGAA